CUUGGUCAUUUAGAGGAAGUAAAAGUCGUAACAAGGUUUCCGUAGGUGAACCUGCGGAAGGAUCAUUAAAGAGAAAGGAUGAAAGUCCAACCUCCAACCCUUUGUUAUAAACCACUAGUUGCCUUGCCUUAUGUCAGUUGACUGGGGGUGUGGGGAAACCCGUGCCAACUCUUAACGGGCCUCUAUGGCAAUGGACCUUUAAACUCGAAUAUCAGUGUAGUCUGAGAAAAAAUUCAAUGAAUUAAAACUUUCAACAACGGAUCUCUUGGUUCUGGCAUCGAUGAAGAACGCAGCGAAAUGCGAUAAGUAAUGUGAAUUGCAGAAUUCAGUGAAUCAUCGAAUCUUUGAACGCACAUUGCGCCCUCUGGUAUUCCGGAGGGCAUGCCUGUUCGAGCGUCAUUACAACCCUCAAGCUCUGCUUGGCCUUGGGCGUCACCGGUAACGGUGGGCCCCAAACCCAGUGGCGGUGCCGUCUGGCUCUAAGCGUAGUAAUUCUUCUCGCUAUAGAUGCCCGGUGGAUGCUUGCCAGUAACCCCCAAUUUUUUCAGGUUGACCUCGGAUCAGGUAGGGAUACCCGCUGAACUUAAGCAUAUCAAUAAGCGGAGGAAAAGAAACCAACAGGGAUUACCUCAGUAACGGCGAGUGAAGCGGUAACAGCUCAAAUUUGAAAUCUGGGUCUUUCAGGCUCCGAGUUGUAAUUUGUAGAAGAUGCUUCGGGUGCGGCUCCGGUCUAAGUUCCUUGGAACAGGACGUCAUAGAGGGUGAGAAUCCCGUAUGUGAUCGGUUGCCUGCGCCCGUGUGAAGCUCUUUCGACGAGUCGAGUUGUUUGGGAAUGCAGCUCAAAAUGGGUGGUAAAUUUCAUCUAAAGCUAAAUAUUGGCCAGAGACCGAUAGCGCACAAGUAGAGUGAUCGAAAGAUGAAAAGCACUUUGGAAAGAGAGUUAAACAGUACGUGAAAUUGUUGAAAGGGAAGCGCUUGCAACCAGACUUGCGCGUUGCCGAUCAUCCGGGGUUCUCCCCGGUGCACUCGGCUUCGCUCAGGCCAGCAUCGGUUUUGGUGGUGGGAUAAAGGCCUUGGGAAUGUAGCUCCUCUCGGGGAGUGUUAUAGCCCUCGGUGCAAUGCCGCCUACCGGGACCGAGGACCGCGCUUCGGCUAGGAUGCUGGCGUAAUGGUUGUAAGCGACCCGUCUUGAAACACGGACC
rnacentral:rRNA from 1 species